UCCGUAGGUGGAUUAAUAAGUCAGAGGUGAAAUCCUGCAGCUCAACUGUAGAACUACCUUUGAUACUGUUAAUCUUGAGUCAUUAUGAAGUGGUUAGAAUGUGUAGUGUAGCGGUGAAAUGCAUAGAUAUUACACAGAAUACCGAUUGCGAAGGCAGAUCACUAAUAAUGUACUGACACUGAGGGACGAAAGCGUGGGGAGCGAACAGGAUUAGAUACCCUGGUAGUCC
rnacentral:rRNA from 1 species